GCCUCUGUAGCUCAGCCUGGUUUAGAGCGCGUCCUCGGUAAGGACGAGGUCGGGAGUUCAAAUCUCCUCUGAGGCU
rnacentral:tRNA from 1 species